rnacentral:lncRNA from 1 species
UGCCACAGCAGCAACCUCAGCCACUACAGUUGACAACACCAGAUCCUUAACCUGCUGAGCCAACAGGGAACUCCAGCUGUCAGUCUUUUUCAGCAGAGUGACUCCAGGAAGUCACUCACUGGAAAACUGAUUUCUACUAUUCCCCACAAAAGUGUCCUUUUCGUAAUUUUUAUAUUAAUCCCUAAAUUUUCUAAAAAAUAUUUUAAGUAGACUUUAUUUCUAGAACCACUUUAGGGUCACAACAAAAUUGAGCAGAAAAGUAGAGAUUUCCCAUAUAGUCUUUGUUCGGGCCCAUGCACAGCCUCCCCACCAUCAAUAUCCCCACUAGAUGGUACAUUUGUUACAACUGAUGAAUCUACAUGGACACGUUAUCAUCAUUAAAAGUCUAUAGCUUACACUAGAGUUCACUCUUGGUAUUGUAUACUCUAUGGGUUUUGAUAAAUGUAUAAUGACAUGUGCCUACUAUCUUAGUAUCAGAGUGGUUUCACUGCCCUAAAAAUCCUCUUAUCUUCUGUACUAUCACAUAAUCUCUUGUCAUUUUUCAUGGAAAGUAAAAUAAUAAAUUCAGUACAGGGGAAGAACAAAAAUAAUUAAGAAAAAUAAGAUUUUCCAAGGAAUAUCUGAGUCAAAAGUUGAACUAGUUUAUUUGCAUAUAGUAUUGCAUACACUGAGAAAGACUGAAUGGCUACAAUGGACAUGUAUUGCUUUGAUAUAUGUAUAGUUAUUGACAAAAUAAAAUUAUUUUACACACUAGAAUAUCCAGAUCCUAGAAGGGAAUUUCUGAGAAGUGUAAGCAGCCCCAAGACCCCUCUGCCAGGUGAGGGAGUGUCUGUUUUGAAUCUGAGGACUUGGACAUCAAUAUCUUCAGCCCUCUCUCAUUGACAGAUUAUUUUUUGCCCUCUAAAGCAGUAUUUUUCAAAUAUUUUUCACCUAAAAUAUAAGUAAUGUGUGUUAUAUUCUCCAUCUCCCCCCCCCAAACUGAGACACGUUUCGUGAAAUAAUACUUACCUAUAAGUAUUGCGAUAAGAUAAAAAUUUAAGGUCAAUGUGAAAUGUAAUUUCAUUGAUAUUUAAAUAAAAGAGGAAAAGGUUCCCAGUGAAAUAAUACAAAAACAGAAAGCAUAAACAAUCACGUUGUUGUCUAUGAACAAGAUGAAAACCACCCUCUAGCAGUCACCCAAGCUCUCCAUCAGGCCCCCUCAGGAAGCUGCUUCCAAUUCUGGCUCAUCUGGUGGCAUCCAAAGAGAAAAGGCCAUCAUCUCUGUUUUCUGGAAGCUCUUUGAAUACAAAGGCAAAGACCAUUCCUAAUCACCUCUGUGAACCCUGUACAAACUGUGCCCUUUGGGGACUAUAUUUUAAUUAGGGGACUAACUACUGAGGGGCUUCCUAAAGAAGGAAAAGAGAAUAUGUGGUUCAAUUUCUCUUGAAAACAUUUUAGAGUUAAAACUACAAGCCCAAAGCACAACACUAGGUUGUCUAAAAUGCGAAAAUAAUCAAACAAUACUCAUUUUAUUCACUUUCCUAGUUCUCUCUUGGUAUUUUCCUUCUCCCUUCUCAGUACACCUUGAGAAGAAAACUAAAAAAAAAAA